rnacentral:rRNA from 1 species
UACAGAGGGUGCAAGCGUUGUCCGGAAUCACUGGGCGUAAAGGGCGCGUAGGCGGCCCGGUAAGUAGGGGGUGAAAUCUCACGGCUCAACUGUGAGGCUGCCUUCUAGACUGCCAGGCUCGAGCACAGUAGAGGCUGGUGGAAUUCCCGGUGUAGCAGUGAAAUGCGUAGAUAUCAGGAGGAACACCGAUGGCGAAGGCAGGUCUCUGGGCUGACACUGACGCUCAUGCACGAAAGCGUGGGGAGCAAACAGG